UAGGACACAAAUGAAAGAAGAGUACUUCUGCUCUGCUGGGUCUGCGACACUACUUAUCCGAGGAGUCCUCAAACAUUAGGAUGUAGGAAGACACAAGUAAAAGGAGAAGAAUGCUGCUCAGCUGAGUCGGCGGUCACACUACUUAUUCAAGAAGCUCUUGGAUAUCAUCGGCAUGUGUGAAGCACAGUCAUUCCGGUAGGCACGGAGUCGUUCCUCGAUGGACGUGAUGACCUGGCACCAAAACCACUUAAUGUGUAUGAAGCUGUGUCUGCAUCGAGGGAAGAACCCAGCACUGAAAUGACACAAAUGAAAGAGGACGUCUUCUCUGCUGGGUCUGCGACACUACUUAUCCUAGGAAUCCUCAAACAUCAGGAUGUAGGAAGUAAGAUCUUUUUUAUGUCAUGCAUAACAGCCCAUGCGUGCACGCACACGCACACACACACACACACACAUACAAAACAUGCACGUGCACACUCCACUCUACACCAAACACAGAUAAACACACACAACCUUAAAGGAAAAUCCCUACUAGUUUCAACAUCUAAUUAUAUUGUUCUCACUACCACUGGCUUGUCAGGACCCAACAGCCUCUUUUUUCCAGCCCUGUCCGUCAUCUCAUUCUAAUGAGUGCAUGAUCUGUUUACAUAUAAAACAGACAUAG